UUGGCCUCGGAUCAGGUAGGGAUACC
rnacentral:rRNA from 1 species